rnacentral:rRNA from 1 species
CGGGACGGGUGGGUAAUGCUUGGGAAUCUAGCUUAUGAGGGGGAGUAAUACGGGAAACUGUAGCUAAUACCGCGUAAUAUCGAAAGAUUAAAGUGUGGGACCUUCGGGCCACAUGCCAUAGGAUGAGCCCAAGUGGGAUUAGGUAGUUGGUGAGGUAAAGGCUCACCAAGCCGACGAUCUCUAGCUGGUCUGAGAGGAUGACCAGCCACACUGGGACUGAGACACGGCCCAG